UUUCAUUGAAGUAAUAAAACUAUUCCAAUUCGAAUAAUAGUUGAGAAAGAAUCGCAAUAAAUGCAAAGAUGGAACAUCUUGGAUACGGUAUUGAAGGAGUUGAACCAGGAUUUCCAAAUGGAUAGGAUAGGGUCAGUUACGAAGUAUAGCGUGAAACUGGGACGACGGGUGUGUAGGACUGAUAAAAUGAGCCCAAGCUACUAUGAGGCCCACAGACACGGAUGGGGCGCGAGGCCGGAAGUUUUUUUAUUUCUGAGGGUUUAUUAUUAUUAGGAGAAAUCCCGUUAUUAUCAAAAUAAAUCUCGCUCGGUGGCCACCAAGAUUAUUUGUGCUUGGGCUUCCAGAAAUGUCCUGCGCCACUCUAGCGCAACACGAAAGGUAAAGGAAAAAAAAUUGAAGGAAAAACGGCAGGAUUCGAACCGGCGCCUUUCCUUGAUAUCGAACAUAAUGCAUAAGAGGAUCCAUAAAGAACCAUAGGGUUUUCCGAGAAAAACCAGGGUACAUUAUCCCAAAAUGUUCCAUCUUCCUAGAAAAGUGGAUUCGUUCCAGAAAAGUUCCAGAAGAUGCUAAUGGUAAGCAAGAAGAUUGUUUACGAAGAAACAACAAUAAAAAUUCAUAUUCUGAUACAUAAGAGUUAUAUAGGAAUCGAAAUAGUCUUUUAUUUUCUUUUUGAAAAAAUGUAUUUCAUUGAAGUAAUAAAACCAUUCCAAUUCGAAUAAUAGUUGAGAAAGAAUCGCAAUAAAUGCAAAGAUGGAACAUCUUGGAUACGGUAUUGAAGGAGUUGAACCAGGAUUUCCAAAUGGAUAGGAUAGGGUCAGUUACGAAGUAUAGCGUGAAACUGGGCCGACGGGUGUGUAGGACUGAUAAAAUGAGCCCAAGCUACUAUGAGGCCCACAGACACAGAUGGGGCGCGAGGCUGGAAGUUUUUUUU
rnacentral:lncRNA from 1 species